rnacentral:rRNA from 1 species
CCUACGGGGGGCAGCAGUCGAGAAUCACUCACAAUGGGGGAAACCCUGAUGGUGCGACGCCGCGUGGGGGAAUGAAGGUCUUCGGAUUGUAAACCCCUGUCAUGUGGGAGCAAAUUAAAAAGAUAGUACCACAAGAGGAAGAGACGGCUAACUCUGUGCCCGCAGCCGCGGUAAUACAGAGGUCUCAAGCGCUGUUCGGAAUCACUGGGCGGAAAGCGAGCGUAGGCGGUUUCGUAAGUCGUGUGUGAAAGGCGCGGGCUCAACCCGCGGAGGGCCGAUGAUACUGCGAGACUGGAGUAAUGGAGGGGGAACCGGAAUUCUCGGUGUAGCAGUGAAAUGCGUAGAUAUCGAGAGGAACACUCGUGGCGAAGGCGGGUUCCUGGACAUUAACUGACGCUGAGGCACGAAGGCCAGGGGAGCGAAAGGGAUUAGAUACCCUGGUAGUC